CGUAAAUAUGUAAAGGUUCACGAUUGUACUGCUGUUCUUAAACGUAACACCAGAUUGGCGGCAGGCAAAGUCGUCGCUGUUCCACAGGUGAUUUUACGGCACAGUUUUCACACUUUCAUCUGUUAAAAUAUGUGACAACAGUUCGUGUUGGUGAGGUUGGUGUUCAGUUUGUAUAUUUAGCUCGCUGCACGCAGACGUAAAGUUCCGGUAAAACUCGGCCACGGUCGUGUUUGACCGUAAAUACUGGCGUUACUUGAAGGUGGUGGAGUGACGGUUUAGUGUCACAGAUUCACCCGGCGGUGUUUUGCGUGUGCGCGCGUGUGUCGGGCCCGUGGUUCUCGGGCGGGCCGCCGGACUCACGGUGCGUUUCUGGGGCUUGAUGAGCGGCCGGCUCAGGCCGUUCAUCUUGCUGUACAGGCCGCAGGCGUUGCACAGAAAGUGUCCGGUGCCGUCGCGCCUCCACAGCGGCGUGGAGAUGGAGCCACAGUUGACGCACUCCCGGCUCUCGCCCAUGUCGUCCAGGAUGUCUGCAACUGAGCACCGACAGCGCAGACUCAGUGGCUCACUGUACUGUGGAGCAUCACAUUAACCCAGCCACUUCCACAUGAUUAACUGAAUGAACAGCGACUAUAAACUUUAUCAGAGAGGUCGAUGAAUAACGAUCUGUAGAUUGAAGACAACUCUGGGCUGGUCAUGUGACCCGGCGCUGGACAGGUCCAGGGUCCACUGUCUGACACCCAAAACAAACAGCAUUUGCUGAAUGGAUUUUUUUUUUCAUGAUGAAACUUCAUCUGACCUGUUUCCCUGCAACUCAGUGACCCGUCGGUCCGUCUUUGACCGGAGCUGCUCUGCUGCUAACACUGCCCUGUCCCAGGUGAUGAUGAUGAUGAAGCACUGUCAUGCUAAUUGCACUCAUCAAUUAUCCAGGUAGAAUGUAACAAGAAGCGUGGAGCUUUCUUAAUGGCGCUGCUCCUUUUGGAUUGUUAUUAUUUUGUACCCUUCUCUUUUACUGCAGCAAUAGUGCCUGAUUUUGGGGCGUCUCUUACCUCCGUUGGGCCCCCGGAUGAGGGGCGCCCCUCGGCUCUGCAGGGUGUGCAGCAUGGUGUUCUCGAAAGCUCCUCCGCUCCACGGCGAGGACAGCUGCGGUGCCACAUAGGGGGUGUAGGGACUCGGGUAAGGUCCAGUCAGGGGCCGAGUCAAACCGUACUGGUCUCUGUUCAGCGAGUUGCUGUAGCCAAUGUCCCUGGCGCUGCCGUUAUUCAGAGGCGGGCUCGGAGGGUAGUGGAAGCGGCUGGAGGUGUGCGGGCUCCCGGCGCUGUAGGAGGGGCUCUCGGGGCCGGUGGUGGGGGUCUGGGACCAGACCGAGUGGCUGGAGACCGAGGGCUGCCCCGAGUACGGCAGGCUGGGGAUCAUGGAGCCCACCCGGGUGCUGGGCACGUAGACGGGGGAGUUGGUGUUGGAGUGCAGGUAGCCCCCGGACGAGGACUCGUACCCGGUCUGGCUCUGGGCGGCGGCGAUGGCCAGGGUCUGGUACAUGUCUGCCGGGUCCACCAGCAGUCCCGCCUUGCAGUGCGUGCCGCCGGACAGGACCAGCUUCCCGCCCUGGUCCAGGUCGGUGAAGAGAGGCAGGUCCUCCGCCGGGGUCAGCGGGGCGGCGUGGUGUCCGAAGGGGACAUAGGAGUGUAGGGAGCGGCCGUCCGGGCAGCGGAGCGGCUCGUGCAGCUGGUCCGGGGUGUGGCCCUCGCUCCGGCGGCUCUCUCCGGUCAGGUAGCUGUGGUCAGCCGGCGAGCCUGGGCUGCUGGACACUUCGCGCUUGACCAUGGACCAGCUGCUGUCGCCCACGUCCAUCCAGGACUCUUUCCAUACACCAGGGGGGUCACAGAAAAGCUCAGGGGGUCCCUGCCACACAGGAACAGCAGGUCAGCCGCCGGGUCACCGGGACCAUGGAAACACGACCGCACAAGACAGACCAGCCACCAAGUAUUACAGUCUGAAAAGCAACGGAGGAGACGUCCAAAUGUUAAAGAGCUCAGAUAAUAAGGAAGAAGUAGGAAGAGAGUUGAAAUACUGAACAAGACGCAAACUGUUCAGUGUGUGGUGAGAACAAUAUUGACGUUUGGCAUUAUUCUAAUGAAAACGUUUGAGACUAAAAUAAAACGCUUGGAAGAUGUUUUACAAGUUUGCCUCAUCGAAAUUCCAGUUUAAAAACUCGGGAGAUUUUUAGAGUCAUAUCGAAACAUGAAAAAGAUGUGGAAUUGAUAAUAUCCCCAACGCGUCAGGUCCAACGCUUCUUAUUCCGGAGGCUCGAGCGGUGGUCUUGUUCUUGACGGAAUAUUUCGAGUUUAAAAUAUGUAGGUUUUUUUAAGGUUAUUUUUAAAAAUUGUUUUUAAUUGUAGUGCGCCUCAAGAACCCGUCAGCGUGAAGAGAUUUGAUUAAAUCAGCGAGCCACGAUCGAUCCGUCCGCAGCCAGGGUUUUUCUUCAUUUACAGAGAGGAAUAGAAAAUAACGUCUGACGCGCAUCUGUCUGCUGCUGGGUCACGUCUUCGGUGGCGACUUUUUGCUUCUGAAAGACACAAACUUAUACUCUCGGCGGUGAUCGCGUCCCUCGUGUUUUAAUUCUUCUACAAACGGUUGCUGAAACUGAGGAUUGAGUCGCCUGAAAAAGUAGAAUUUAAAUCAUUUAAAUUGAAAUAUUGAAAUUUGUGAUGAGUAAAAAAAAACAUUUAAAAACAUCUAAAACAUUUAUCCAUCAUCGAAGAAAUGAGGGAAAUGUGGACGCCUGACAGCGGGGUGUUUGUGCGUGUUACAAGUGAGACUCACGGAAGCGCUCGGUCUUAACGCGCUUUCGCUCUGGACCAUACGAAAAUCUGACUUUGGUUUUGUGGAAAAACACCACAUAAAUUUGGAAAAGCAUGAUUAUGAAACUGAAAUGACGAAAUCGUUGCGCGAGGAAAACCUCUCGAUGAGGUUGUUAACCCACCGCGUUAUUGCUCUUAACGAUCUCAUUCGGCCGUUUUUAACACUCGAAAUGAGCUUCAACACGCGGCUUUGGAUCCGCACGUCUGCGUCAUAUUUAGCGCCCGUUUCUCCUCCACCCCGAGUCGGUUCGCUCAUUUCCCAGAUCCAUGAAGUUUGAAUGGUCCUGAAAACUCGUCCGUCCCUGGAGAAACGCUGGAUCCUUCCGCGUCAGCGCUCAGCAGGCGCGUGCGCGCGCACGCGAUAGGAAACCCAAACGCAAUAUGUCUUCACGGCGUCGAGAGAUAACUGUUUGAUAAGCAGAUAAGGGCCGGAGAGGCAGCGAUAAAACAAAGAAUCCCGGCAUCGACGGCGCGUUCCUGCGCCAGAUGGUGCGUCCGCGGCGACACGAGACAUCCGAGCGAGAAGCCGCUCUGGCGGUGUUACCUGCUAGUUGGCUGCCAUCGGCGGCUCCGCGGACUCAGGGCUGCUGUUCGGCUGCUUCUCGGGAGGUAAAUGGGAGUCGGGCAGCGGUGACGAGGUUUUAGAGAGGAGGCGCUGCGGCGGCGUCGGGAGGACCAAUCAGCAGCCGCCAAUCCAGAGCGGCGUGGAGCGCGCCGGGGGCGCGAGCCCGUGACCUCCUCCCGUCACUCACACGGCGCACACCGGAGCGGGAGCCGCGCGCCGCUAGCUGAAGUUGAUUUUAUUUUGUUUUGUUUUUUUUUUUAACGAAGAUGCAGCGCCCCCCGCUCAGGAAACACCUUCCUUUUGUUUGUCCUGUUGUCGCCUCCGUUCCUGCUGUAACCUGCGCGUGGCUCGGGCCGCCGCGGCCUCUGACACUCGGGCCUCCUUUGUCUUAGAUCGGUCUUCCGCUCCGCAUCGAAUAAAACCCGAGUUUCGUUGAACAGGAAUCACGGGCGCUAUUUCAAAGAGUUUGUGGAUUUAUCCGGGUGAUUGUCGAGCCGCGCAGCACCGUUCUAUACUUCACCACACACCGAUCACAGUGGUGGAUCCAGCCACCGCUUCAAACCAUACACACGAAAAACUAUACAAGUUCGUCCAAUAAUAACAGGGUAAAGGCUGCGGAGCGUCUGACUAACGGAAGGAAACGAACAUUCUUACUCCGACAUCAAAACAAAAUAUAGCUUUUGAUUUAGCAAAAAUAUAAAUACUAUUUAAUAAACAGACGCAAAACAAGAGAUAAAAAUGUUUUGAAUUUAAAUCCGACACAAAUACAAUAUUCAGAAACGGCUUUCUAUUUAAACAUUUUUAAAAUCAAAUUUUAUUUUUUUUAAUAAAAAUUCAUAACAAAUAACCCAAGUUUAAUCAAAUGUGAAUUAAUUUCGUUAUUACAUUCUUGCUCGAUUACGGAAGGGAGAAUAAAUGGAUUUUAAAUUGACGGAAACAUAAAACGUCGGAAAAAUAAAAGGGAACAAAUGAAGAUACGAUCAUAAACAGAAAUGUCUCCUCGCGCUUGGAAUGUCACAUGGAACGGACCAUGAAAUCAAAACUGAACGCCAUUAUUUGAACAAUAUUAAUAUCAUGUAAUAUAAAUAUUUCAAAAAAGCUAGUAUUUCAAGUAGAUUAUUAAAACCAAGUCCACAGGUGUGAUGGGAAAUAUUUAAUACACAUUUAUUAGAAAUGACUAAUAAAAUAUUAUAAAUGCGCAAAUGUAAAAAUGAAUCGUUUUGAAAUUUUUUUUUUGUCCAUUUUUAUAUAUAUUAAUUGUAACGUUCUAUUUUGGGAGGGAGUUCAUCAUUUGAUUUUCCAUCCAUCUGAACUCAAACUCUGCUCUCUGGCUCUCAUUGCUGGUUCCACAUGAAUCUUCCUUUAAAAAACAAGGCGUGUGUUUCUCUCUUGUUUUCCUGUUCCACACCGUGGCACUGCGGCUUCUGAGCGCCACCAUGUGAGCGCCUGUCCUCCUCCAUCACCACCAUCGUCUGCUCCAGUGGAGGCUAACGCAGGCCCAGCUGCGCCUGCGCUCCUCGCGCCUGCUUUGAUCAAGCGCUCAUCAAGGCUCUUUGUUUAUUGGCCGAGAGUCGUCAGGCCGAUCAAUGAGCUCCGGCCUAAUUGGUUUAUUUAAGUCAGACUCUUUCAGGCAGCUCAACACAAACUUCUCCACCUCGGUGCUUUGAAGCCUCAUGAUUGAGUCACAGCCAAUAUGCAUGUGAGUGAUCAAGAGUGUGGAGGCGUCAAUUGGAUCAUCUGAGGGCGGCCACGCCCACCUGGAGCCCAGGUCACAUGACCACAGUCAGCCUCAAGCACUGUAUCAGCGCCCGCGUUCAACAGCAGCGACAUCCACCUCUGAUACCUCCGACUUCUAUCAGACUGCUUGGUCUUGUACUACUACACAUCACUAACACUUCUGUGUACUACCAGUAGGUUGUAGAGUCUGACCAACUGCUCUCGCUGGAGACACGAGUAGUUACACUUCCACAACACCGUACUUCUUCAGUGAUAAACACUACUACUGCAGAAACAACUGCUACUUCAACAACGGUGAGACGACUCGUACUUGCAUGCCACCAACAUCUCCGCUUGUAUCCUGCCAGAAGUACUGUCUGAGUGCGAGCUUGGGCUGGCUGUAACUAGCAGGACUCACUCUGUGUACUUGUACUAGCAUGAGGCGCAGAGGAGUGUGCUGAGCCCUUGGACCUGUGGGUGGUGGAGCGCGUCAGAGGGGGGACCAAACCCGAGCCACCGUCUCUCUGGGCUCAGACCAGGCCCACAACACUGGCCCUUUCCCCCCCUCUGCUCUGGUCUAUCUGAACGUGAUGAAUGAGGUGUUUUCUCAGCCGUGUGUCAAAGUGAGCCGCUCUGACACUCGGUGCCUGAGAGGAGAAGUGGCAGGACGCCGCCCUGUCUGACGCUGGGCCCAACACGCUGACGGCCUGCGCCGAGUCUCACACAAUCUAAUCUCUCGCUCCCCACCAGCAUGGACACAUCCUCCCAUCAGGACACCCGAAAACUCUUCAAACAUCCUCACACUCCCUGUUUCGCCAUCGAUUGUUGCUGCGAGUUAAAGUCCAGGCUUUUAUCAGACUAGCGGUUGUUGCUAAUGGCUGCCGCUCUUCAGGUGUCAGCGUCCCAGCGUGAUAAUGAUGAUCUGCCACACUCCAGAGCUUGUUCUGCUCCUCAAGAGCUCAGAUAAGCAGCCAAACGUGUUCGCUACGACAAAGAAUCCCCCAGAUCCCCGACGGUCAGCUCAGCGUCCGGAGGUUUCAAACCAUGGCCUCUGACUCGGUGCUCGCGCCAUGCUAGCAAAGCAUGCUAACACGUGCGGAGAUGCUUUUCCUUCCACGCUGACCUCCUUUAUGGUUCUGGAACAACAUGACUGGAAAUAAGGAGCCUUGCAAAUGAGCUUGGAAAAAAACAGUGUCAGUUUUUAGCCUAAAAAAAGCUCCAGUACGCAAUGAUUUCUUUAGCUGCCAAAAGCAAUGAGUAUUUCAAGUGCAAUGAACACAUACACACACUAAAUAAAUGUAGAUGCUAAAUAAAAACUGGUGAUAAAAUAAGUCCAUCAGGAGAGAGAUGGAUCUGGAGGUCGGCCAUGUUUGCUAUAGUGUUCUGGUGACGCUGCACUAGUCAGUUCCGCUUCUUACUUCCCUCUAUUAUAUACAUUUAGGAAUGGAUUCAGGAUCCAUCGCGUCCCAAUGGUUACCCUUGUGUGAGCUAAUGUUGCCGCCAAGCUAAACAUGUAGCAUAAGUACGAGUCCCAUAGUUUAGAAACCUCAUGUUAGCUUCAACCAAGCUCCGUCAGAAUCCAUGCUAGCUUUGUUAGCCUGGAUUAGCUUGGCAGCGUAGCUUCAAAACAUUGGUUGAGUAACAGUUCAACCGUCGUCUUGACUGAAGAGCCAGUACAAGAGAUGAUGCUAGUUUAGCAUGUAGCGCGCCGUCUCCUUCCUUCCUUCCACAGAAAUGUUGUGGUGCGCCGCCAUAUUUGGCCCCGGCUCCCAUGAGUGGCUGGGAUAUUGAUCUGCGGGCCUUUCACCGAGCUCUUAUCAAUACUGAGCCCUGUGUUUGAACAGGCGCUUAAUGAGGUCUGAGGUUCUGAGUAUGUCAUCUUGGAGUUGCUGAGUCGUCGAGCAUUCAUGCUUUAUGGCGGUGGGAGGAACCCAGAGUGCCUGGAGUAUUGGGCGGUAAACAGCAGUAAAAGCUGGAGACCCGAGACUUGUUGGACUUCAUGACUGACGGAGAGGUGCGGUGGAGGAAGAGGAGGAACGACGAAGAGGUGGAAGAGGAGGAGAACGAUGAAGAGGAGGAGGAGGACCACUGAGGCAGAGGAUCCAGAUCGGUGGAGGAACUGUGUUUCCAGAAGGGAACUGAAGGACAGAGAGUCAUAUAUUGAACUCACAGCUGAAGUAGUAUUGACAGAUCCUCAGUGUUUCUGCACCACAAUGCGCCUCACUCGCGGGUGAAUAUUCACUCGCCUAUCCCACCGGUGACACCACUCUCAAGCGCUAGCAUGGAUGCCCUCACUGUUCAGUGCCAAUAAACAUCAGAACUACGACGGUAGUACGACAAGUGACGCUGCCUUUGUGUUGCUGUGUCGACGCCACUACAAACUACUGCAACUUCUUCUUUUCUAGCAAACCUGUGAUCAUCAGAAUAACUAAUACACACAUUCAUAAAUAGUUACUUUAGUCCGUAUUUUGACGUGCAUUUCUACAUAUAUUUUCUUACUUCAACAACACAUCACUCGAGUGAAUCAUCUCCAUCCAAACAUCACUAGAAACUGAUGGCAGGAGGCCCAGGUGAUAGAAGCACUGUAAUUUACUGAGUUCACUUGAACGCCACGCCUGCUGGGAACCAGCCAUGUUUCCCCCUGGUUUGCUUGAAUGUUUCAAGUGGCCUGUGUGAAGGUAGGCGUGUGAGAGUGUGUGCGCGUCGAGUGCAGGGCAGCAAAGCAUUGUGGGAGCUGGGGGGACCGUCCUGUUUGAAGUGGUAGAUGAUUAAACGACGGUGACAGGUGUAAACGCAACCUUUGUCAUUCUGAACUUGUACCGUCCUUCUGGACUCGCCCUCAACCGUGCAGCCCGCUCACCUGUGUCUGUGUGUGUGUGUGUGUGUGUGGGAGGCACGCACGCACGCACGCACGCUGCGGUUGAAACCGUCCGCGAGGAAGCAAACACCAUGCAGUGGCUGCACAGACACAGCAGCGAAUCAAAGACCAGAAACGUGUGAAGAAAUCCAAGUCUAUAAAUACACACUCAGUAAUAACACACUGAAUGUAUGCAAAUACACACCAGAACACACACUUAUAAACCUCCGUGCUCAGCGUCCACUGUGGAAACACAACCGGCCGGAACAGCUGUGCGUGUGCGUGCACGUGGGUCAGAACCGAGGUGUCACCGGGUCACCGCAGUCCCGGGUCUGGCUCCGCCCACCUCAGUCUGAAGCCCGAGCCGCUCUGACUCGCUCCGCUCUGACUCCCGCCUCAUUUAUCUGUGUUGACGUUUGCGAUUGUGUUUGUGUCGCCGCACAAUCGCUGGUGCGCCGUGAUGUCGCAUCAGCCUCACACCGACCUCAGGUUUGGUCCCACCCCUGUCACAUGACUCCCAAAACACAGACUGUGUCCAAUAAAGUCUGCGGUUUCAUGAGACGUCAAAUUUGACACAUUUUCAGGACGAGUCAUAAACGGCUUUAUCGUAGUAAUCCGUGAGUAAUUACUUUUUUUAAAGUCAAAAUGUAGUUACGGCGUGGUGUGAAAAGUACACACUGGCUCUCAAGAGCUGACGGUCAGUUCUGGCUCUGGUCCAAAGGAAAAAUCACCAUUUGGUCCAGGAGCGCUGGAUAUGGAUUCAGCAAUUGUGAAAUAAAUGUUGAAAACCAAAAAAACAAAUACAGGAAGGAAGUAAGAAGCAUGAACAUCAGUACAAGUGUCCACUACUGUUUGCCUAUUUCGUUCCUGUCAGUUCUGUUUUAUGAAUCAAUCUGAGCCGAGUGUUGGGUGAAUGUCGAGUUGGGCCUCAGCGGCGCUGCUCUGGGAGCAGGAAGCAGCUGAGCUGGAAGUGGAGUCAACUGCGCUGCCGAUAAAAACCUUCAUCAGCAGUAAAAUGCCUUUAAGAGCGGCGAUAAGACAGAGGCGUUUGAUAGACCAGCGCGAGUCACUGGCUCAGCUGGGUCCUGAUUCCUUCAUGGUCAUGGCUCAGUGUUGGCGCUCCGCUGGCGAGGUGAGCCACGGGACCGUCACAGGCCUCUCUCUCAUCUCCUCCGCAGCCCUGUUAUUGUUUCCACGCCACCGGCUCCGUCCUGUGGAGCCAGGGCUCCUGCGCAUGUUUUGUCUCGGAGGAGAAGGUCACAUCUCCACGGUACACGCUGUGACUUUCCUCCUGAAUCAGCCCCAGAGCAAACAGCCUUGGGCCGGCGUGACGUGGCUGAUACCGUCCCGGAGAUGGCGUGGGGACAGAGGCGAGGCGUGGGCCGGCCCGGGGGGGGCGCUGCGGCGUGGACCUGAGCAGCUGCUAGACCUUGCUGGCGCAGGCUCAAGGUCGCCCGCGCUGCUCCGCUGGGGGAGUGGAGAGAGCUGGCAAACAAUCGGCGCAUUGAUGGAGCUGUGCUCCGCCGAAGGUCCUGGGGGCAGCACCAAGAGUCCCGCGCUUGGCUCCGCACCGAAACCUCUCCAGAGCCCAGGGAGCGCGUCACGUGGGCCGCGGUGACCAGAGCUGACUCCAGUCCAUAUCAGAGAUCAGCAGCACGUAGAGUGCCGCGGCUCAUUGUGUGGCCUCUGUGCUCAGCAACAAAAGAAGCCGAGAGAGACGCGGCUGGAGCGGCUCGGGCUUCCGCUCCGAGUCAGUCACGGAGAUUCCAUCACAGCUCUCUUAUCGCGCUUGUAUGACCGGGGCCGGGACCUGGCUGAGGAGGAGCGCCACCGUCUGACCUCGGCGGCGUGUUGAUGGAUGUGAGGAGGCCGCUCAGAUGCCCAGGCUCUGUUUACUGCUGAAGCUUCAGGCUGACAGACUCCAGGACCUCAGUCAGACGCCUGGAGUCUGAGGCAUCUCUGAAGACCCCGACUUCUUCUGCUGAUGAUGAUGCUGCUAGAGGAACAUGUUGGAGGAGGAGGAGGACGAGUGGGGUGACAAAGAUGCUGACGUGAUGAUGAGGAGGACUGGUGCCAGUCAAGACUGGAAGGUUGAGGAUGUAGCAGUGAGGAUGAUGAGGAGGAGGAUGAUGAAGGACAGCAGUGAGGAUGAUGAUGAUGAUGAUGAGACGGAGGGGGAGGAUGAAGGACAGCAGUGAGGAUGAUGAGGAGGAGGAUGAAGGACAGCAGUGAGGAGGAGGAGGAGGAGGAUGAAGGACAGCAGUGAGGAUGAUGAGGCGGAGGAUGAAGGACAGCAGUGAGGAUGAUGAUGAUGAUGAGACGGAGGGGGAGGAUGAAGGACAGCAGUGAGGAUGAUGACGAUGACGGAGGAGGAGGAUGAAGGACAGCAGUUAGGAGGAUGAUGAGGAGGAGGAGGAAGAUGAAGGACAGCAGUGAGGAUGAUGAUGAGGAGGAGGAGGAGGAAGAUGAAGGACUGCAGUGAGGAUGAUGAUGAUGACGAGGAGGAGGAGGAUGAAGGACAGCAGUGAGGAUGAUGAGGAGGAGGAGGAGGAGGAGGAGGAUGAAGGACAGCAGUUAGGAGGAGGAGGAGGAUGAUGAUGAUGAGGAGGAGGAUGAAGGACAGCAGUGAGGAGGAAGAGGAGGAGGAGGAUGAAGGACGUAGCAGUGAGGAUGAUGAGGAGGAGGAGGAUGAAGGACAGCAGUGAGGAUGAUGAUGAGACGGAGGAGGAGGAUGAAGGACUGCAGUGAGGAUGAUGAUGAGACGGAGGAGGAGGAUGAAGGACUGCAGUGAGGAUGAGGAUGAUGAUGAUGACGAGGAGGAGGAGGAUGAAGGACAGCAGUGAGGAUGAUGAUCAGUAGGAGGAGGAGGAUAGUGAGGAAGGUUGCAAAGAGGAUGAGGAUGGUAACACAGUCAUGAUGAAGAUGGUCAGUCAUGAGAUGAGUGGAGCUGUGACGAAGGUGUUGGUGAUGAAGAUGAUGAUGAUGAUGAAGAACAGCUCACCUCCAUGUUGGGACUGAAGUGAAGAGAUGCUCUUCUGCUCCACUGCGUCACCUGAAGGUCAAGGUGUGACCACAGCCAUCAGGUGUGUGUGUGUGUGUGUGUGGGACGGACGGACGGACGGACGGAGGCUGCGGCCCGGGGUGAAGGCCAACCACACGCACUCACGGCGGCAGGACUCCUUGGCCGUGACUCAGCCAGUGGGAGUCUCCAGAGCCAGCGGCGGUAAUGAGUAACAGCGUUUAUGGUCUGUCAAUGGUUAACGGAGGAGCUGAGCUCCGUCCCAGCACCUGCAGCACCUUUUACUGGCCGCGGCAGCAGCAGAACAAACACUCCAGCCACGGCUCCUCGCGCAGCCAGACGGAGGAGUGGGGCGGGGGUCACGUGACCCGCCGCAGCUGCUGCCAAUUCCUGAGCUUCAGCAGCAGGUACUGCGCCCACUGCUGCAGUACUAAACACUACCACAAUUACUUGGACCUCUUCAGACCUACGAGUCGGAGUACUACUACUACACCUACAAGUGCUGCUGUAAACUGGUACUAGUGCGAGGAUUUGUGGUGCCACUGGUCUCACCUCCACUACCACAGUGAGCCCUGCAACUACGACUACUACUACUACUGCUGCUACUACUACUAUUUCCACGACCACAAACAUGAGGUGAAGCCACAGAAAAAUCCAAACACAAACAUGUUCUCGGAAGUGGAUGGGAUGAGGUCAGUUUGAGUUGAAGGGAAUGCGUGUAACACACACACACCUGCAGAGCUCAGGUCAGGGUGACCCCACGGUGACCUCUCUGACCAGGUGCCUGGAGCUGGGCCACCUUCACCUCGCACACACACACACACUUGUGUGAGCUCGGACCAUGAUGCUUCAGGCAGAAGAGCUUGGCGCUGGCGUAAUGCUGACAUCAGCAGAAGCCGGGAUGGAGUGUUCCGGUGUCCCUGUGACCCUCAACCUAACCCUCCAAAACGCAUGGCUCACCCGAACCAGGACUCGGAACCAGACUUCAACCCAAUUAUAAACCAGCCCACACACACACACACACACACACACACACACACACACACACACACACACACACACACACACACACACACCCCGCAGCUCCGAGUCACAACAGAUCCCGUCCUCAAUGGAGUUUCGACAGCGAGCGUCAGCAGACAAGUGUCCUCACAGGAGCAGAAGCCCAGUGGGCUCGCGGUCAGCAGCGGCCUCCCGCAGGCCCAGGUGGGCUGGGGGAACACGGCGAGUCAGCAGUCCACCUGCCGCCUGCCUGUGACGUCAUCCAAUCUUCAAUCUGCCAAAACUAAUUUAACACACUGAAUACAUGUUUAUCUGUCAAGUCGGUGUUGUGUUACUUUAAACAUAUCAGAAUGUGUUUCUGUCCCACCAUGAAGGUGAAUAUACCUUUUGUAUAAUGAUGGAUGAGUUAUUCAAAACACGUCUCAAUUUCUGCAUUAUAUUCAUGGAAGUUUUCGUACUCCUCUGUUGGCUUCAUUUCAACAGAACUGUAGCAGAAAAAAAAAUGGUUUUAGUUUUUAAAUAGAGAGAAACAUCUUUCUUAACAUUCCAGUUCACCCCCCCACCCCACACCCCCCGUCCUUAACUGGGAGGCUGCUGUGUUAAGUAAACUUUGUCAGCAGAGCGCCGUCUCUCUGCCCAUCAGGAGACCUCCUCUGUGACCCCCGCCUCCUCACCGCCUCCCCCCCCUCAGCAUCCCCGCGUCUCCUCCGACGGAGACAGACUAUCAGAGGCUUCGCGUCAUCCGUCUCCUCAGCCUGACUGACAGGACGACCUCAGAGAUUACUGACUGGCUGCUAUCAGAUCAGGAAGGAUCUAAAAUAAGUCUGUUCUGGGAGCAGCACCAGUGGCUGGUCCGAACCCAGACUGGCUGGUUCUGCUCUAAUCAGUCUGGAGGCGGACUCAAGGUCCGCGGAGGCCCAGACAGAUACGCUGUGUAUCUGGAGCCACGGAGCUGGUCCUGCAGGGCGACCGCCGGUGUCAACAGUCGCCCAGUCUCACCGUCCACCCUGAAGCUCACAACCGUGUCUGUCUGUGUGUGUGUGUGUGUGUGUGUGUGUGUGUGUGUGUGAACACGAGCCGCUCCACUAUCAAGGUCCAGAUGGAACAUUCCCAGGCCGAGACCUUCAACCCACAUUCUUCCAAACACAGAGAGAAAUUCCUCCACUGCAGCACUUCUCUCUGCCCACCUCCACACUUGCCAUGCAGCCGCGGCUCGGAGCUGGAGACAUGUCACCUGCUUUCUUGGCUUGUUUUUGGGGGGGCAGAGAUCUAAUCUAAGAUCUGAUCUAAUUUUUAGUUUAUUGUUAUUAUUUUAAUGUAAUUAUUUUUGGUAUUUAAUUGACCUGGAUAACGUAAAAGACAUUUGUUUCCAAAAUAUAUAAGGUUUUUAUGUUCACUAGAUUAUUUAAAAAUGUAUAUAUUUCUAAUGUAUAGCGGGAGAAAGAGGGGGGAAAUAUAAUUGGUAUUAUUAUUUUUUCUUCAACAGUUAGGUAAGGACAGGUUUGGACUUUCCUUUCCUGAUUAAUUUUUUGUUUUAUUGAUGUAUUUUUUGUUCAUAAACUCUUCAUGGUGCAUUCCAGUACCGGAAUGUCGAAGUGAAACACCACACCUAAGCAAGCAUCCAUGACUUCUGGAAACAGUGUGUCGGCUGGUGCAGUUGGUGUUUUACUGUGAAGAAAGGAGCGCCAGUCACCGAGUUUCAGGGCCGACACGGCUGCAGGUGGGGGGCGACAGCGAGCAAACACGUGGCGGCGGCGCUGGGUGGACGUAAACACCCUCUCCUGGCGCUGACCUCCAGAAGUCCCCUGACUUACCGGCUGUGUUCUCAUGGUGAACGGGCCGGAGGGGAGUGGUGCUCCUCCGGAGGCUCAGAUAGCUGCGGCACAAACAUCUGCAGGUGCAGAGCGGCAGCAACCUUGGGCAGCGAGGACGGCAGUGCGGCGAGCAGCAGCAGCAGCAGCAGCAGGAUCAAUAAGCCAGAGUCCAGCGCUCACAGCCAGCCCAGGUUCCACCUCCAGAUCAAUACCUGAUACACAGAUUCCCAGAGCUGCCUGGCCAAGGCCUGAGAGUCCUCGGCUGCCAAGCACCUGGGAGACCAGAGGGAGAGACCCAGUCAGGGCGCAGCCAUGUUCAAACACCAGUCGCCCCAAGAGCCAGAAAACCGAGAAACUGAGAGCAAGACAGGAAAACAGAGAGGCUGGCUGGGAUCCUGGGAUGGGAAGGACUUCGUACUGGCCACUCAUAAAAAAAAAAAAAUAUAUAUAUAUAUAUAUGUGUGUGGUUUUUUUUAGUUCAGAAAAACGUAUUUUUAUCAUUUUAUUUUAAUCUUUUAAAGUAUGUUACAUUUUAAAACACUAUUAAAACCAGCCUACAGUUGCUAAAAUCUAUGUAUUCAAAUGUUAUUAACAAAACUAAAAUUGAUUAUUAUCAAGGAAAAAUAAGUAGAUUUCAUUAUUAAAAAUGAUCACCAGAGGUUAUUGUAACGUGGGGUCAAACAACACGAGCUGAAACAAAACCUAAAAAUCAGCCGUGAUACACAACAAACUGCAGUUCAGAAAUUGGCAAAAUGGUCAAGAGAAUUUCAAACUCGUGUGACCUGCAGCGUUUCUAAAUAGGAAUAUGAUGAAGGAGACUUGAACCUGAUAAAUAUAAAGGUUAGAAAAGUGAACACUGACACUGGAGUCACCGGAGGGACCUGGCUGCUGAAGCUAAAGCAGCGUUAGCUUGCUUGGUUUAGUUCAUGUUAUUAAGUUGCUUGAAUUAAAUCCUGUGCUUCUCUGACAAUACUUACUCACUCGUGAGUUCUGUUUUUAUUUAUGACGUUCACAGGUUCAACAACGACUGUUCGCUACGCAUUAGCACGACACUAGCUCAGCG